rnacentral:lncRNA from 1 species
UACUUCAUUCCACAGGUAUAAUUUCUUGUUUCUUUCCUUGUUCUUACAGAGUCCCAGGAUCUUUGGAAGGGACCUAGAAAUGAUAUGUGGCACAUUUCAGUGACUUCUAGUCAGAAGUCAUUUCGUCCAUCAAGGGAAGUGAGCGUCUGUAUGAUUUCAAAGAAUUAGAAGGGGAGUCUACCAUUAUAGAGGAAACUAAAGGAAAGUGGUCGGAUAGCAGGAAGAACUUUUUCUGUUCGUCUGUAUUUGACAUAAGUGCUGCUGAGGACUAAAAUUCAUAUAGUUAUUGGGGCCUGACGCUUGCUCUAGUUUUCCUAAAGGGCUGAAGAACUACACUUUAGUCCCUGUGCACAUCCUGUGUACCUUAAAACCGUGUUCUGAUCUGUAAAAGAAGUGUGGAAAAGUGCAGUGGGUGAUUGUUCACCUUCUUGUUGAAGAAGAUCUGCUUGCAACUCCCCAUGGCCAAAUGUAGAAAGAGGCACAGUGAUGAUGGCUUCUAGGACCGCCCCUGCUUUGAGCUCUGCUUAGGCAGCUCCUAGGGCUGUCCAUUCCUCUCAGAGGAGAAACGCUGCAAGGUAGACAGAGAUGUUUGGGAGAGAAGAGCCUGCUGUGGAGCCAUCAGGUUGCCUGCCUACUUUGUGGAGUGGGCCGGAGAGGUUCCUCAGGACAAGAGGAAGUAGAGAAGGCAGCUGUCUCCGACCCUCCUUGCUGUAAUAACCUCUCCGCUCCAUGACUGUGCCCUGUGACUUGAGCUGCAUUACUGGGAACAGCUGAGGGGAAGCAUCGCGAAGGUUGGUGAGGAGAAAUAACGAAGAGGAGGGUGAAUAAGAAGGUGGACAUCUGUCCCACAUCCUGCCCAGCCGAGCAGUGCCACCGUGCAUCUGUGUGUCCAGGGCACCGUGGAGGUGCAGAAGUGGUUGAGACUCAGUCGUUCCCCAAGGAGUUCUGGAUGCAUCUUGCCUCAUACAGAGGGUGCCUGACUUGCGCUGCUCCACUUCAUGGCUCCAGAAUUACGGUAUUUUAUUUGGAAGACAAGGGAAAAAAAGAAGGCAGAAGAGGCAAAAAAGAGCCAAGGAAGAGGAAGGUCUAUUCUGAAUUAUAAAAUGUGAAAGAAAUAACACUGUAC